CCCUUAGAUGUUCUGGGCCGCACGCGCGCUACACUGAUGCAUUCAACGAGUCUAAAACCUGCUCUGAUAGGGGUGGGUAAUCUUUUGAAUGUGCAUCGUGAUUGGGAUAGAUGAUUGCAAUUUUUCAUCUUCAACGAGGAAUGCCUAGUAAACGCAAGUCAUCAGCUUGCAUUGAUUACGUCCCUGCCCUUUGUACACACCGCCCGUCGCUCCUACCGAUUGAAUGAUCCGAUGAAUAUCAUAGACUGAGAGUAUAAGCAGGUUCGCCUGUCUUUGCUUCUCGGGAAGUGAAGUAAAUCUUAUCAUUUAGAGGAAGGAGAAGUCGCAACA
rnacentral:rRNA from 1 species